GGUCCAGUUCCAGCUGCAGGGUCUCAGGGAGCAGAGCUCUGGGGGCUCCACCAUGGCCUGGACUCCUCUCCUGCUGAGCCUCCUCACUCUCUGCCAAGGUGCUUGGACCCAGUUUGUGCUGACUCAGCCGGAAUCCAUAUCAGGGUCUCUGGGUCAGUCGGUCUCCAUCCCCUGCACGCGAAGCAGUGGCAGCAUUGGUAGCUACUACGUGUACUGGUACCAGCAGCACCAGAGCGAGAGCCCCAAGCUCAUUAUCUAUGAUGAUAAUAAACGUCCCUCCGGGAUUCCAGAGAGAUUCUCAGGCUCCAUAGAUGCCUCCAGCAACUCAGCGACUCUGAGCAUCUCUGGGCUGCAGGCUGAGGACGAGGCUGAUUAUUACUGUCAGUCCUAUGAUAGCAACAACAAGCUCACAGUGGUUCAGAUCAAUGGGGAAGUAAGACAAAAACCUCCGAGCUCCACUGGUCUGCUAUUCACUCACAACCUGGGCCUUAGUGCUGCUCUCUAUGGGCAGGGCCAUGAUCUAGAUGUGGGGGAGGGAGAGGCAGGAGGAGACCCAAGUGGCACAGAAAUAUGUGCCCAGAGGAAAGCCCUGAUUUCUGAAUCAGAUGAUCUGGCUUUAAAUCCAGCCUCUCUGAUGGUUAUCACCUAUGGGAUGUCUUUUAACUCCUGAGGCCUCAAUUUCCUCCUCUAUAAAAUGAGAGGA